UACCAGCACCCCGAGUGGUCGGGACGUUUAUUGGGCCUAAAGCAUCCGUAGCCGGUUCUACAAGUCUUCCGUUAAAUCCACCUGCUUAACAGAUGGGCUGCGGAAGAUACUAUGGAGCUAGGAGGCGGGAGAGGCAAGCGGUACUCGAUGGGUAGGGGUAAAAUCCGUUGAUCCAUUGAAGACCGCCAGUGGCGAAGGCGGCUUGCCAGAACGCGCUCGACGGUGAGGGAUGAAAGCUGGGGGAGCAAACCGG
rnacentral:rRNA from 1 species